AGAUGAGGGGCUCUUUCUUCUGGGUGCAUUGUGGGUCUGUGUUGUAGUCAUUUCUUCUGUUGUUCCUUCUGGAUCUCUCUGGGUUACCCUGCCGUCCAGUCCUUGCUGUGCAGGGGGGUUGUCAACUGAACUUCUGGGUUUCCUGGCUGUCCGGAAUGGUGCCCGUUCAUGAGGGGGAAGCUGCUGAAGGUACUCCUCUCCUUUCAGACCAACUGAAGAAAUAUGCCUGGCAAAUCAUGGAGGCAGUAGAGAUGUGAUGGCUUUGGCUUCUGCAAAAGGUUGCUCUGAGCUUUCUCCCUGGUUCUUGAGGAAGCUCCAUCUCCUGCGAAUUUCCCAGACUCAGAAGACCUGUGUAUGUGAACCAUGGAAAGGAAGAAGGAAAAGUGACAUAAACAAAAAAUGACAAUUUGUCCUGUCCUGUUCCAGACUGGAGAAACUGCCUGUGUAUAUACAUGGAUGACUGGAAGCCUGCCUAAUGCCAAGAGUUUGGCUGUGAUGCUCAAAACCAGAAAUUUCAGAGUGUUUUGGUAUCAGUGAGCAUGUUAGAAGAAAAUCAUUUCAAACUGAAGCCCAAUAUUCCCACCUCUGCCCCAAAACAGCAAGUGUCUAGGAGAAACUUCAUAUACCUCCCUGUUUGCCUGCAAAGCCUGUGUUGCACUGUUGUCAAACCAUGAGAUUCAAGGAAUGGAAACUUGGAUUUUUGCACAUUGUGUGAUGGGUGUAGCAAUGAAUCAGGGAUGCAAGAUUUUCCAAUGACCUGUAUUUCUGGAAUGAAGUAAUUGGGUGGAGAUGGCUGUUCUAUUUGAGAUUCACCACAAUUUUAUCCAGUUAAGAACUCCUUUCUUAAGAGAUUUGAGGAACCAAAGACCUUUGAAGUUUCUGUGGACACAGAGUUUCAGAAGGCACAGACAGCCCGUGCCUGUUGCCAACCCGUGCCAGCCAAGGACAGGAGCUCAAGAGCUGGCGUCGGUGGCAGAAGAGGCGGACGCUGCAAGAGGAGGAUUUUAGACGGUCGCUACAGCAGUUCUACAUCCUUUUUGUCUGGAUGAUAAAAUCUAAGCAAACCCUUCAGCAGACAUCAACAACCGUAAGUCAUCAUAUUCUGUUGCCCACUUUGCUUAUUCCAAAGUUUAGAUUAUGCCCUGCGUCUGAACCUUCAUUUACCCAAAAGCCACAUAACGUAGCCUGUGACUUGGUGAGCUCUUUGGUAAUACACAGUUUCAAAAGAUAUCAGUUAUCUUCAAAGCUAUUCACAAAUGGCUUCCCUAUAUUUAAAUAAUGCUUCAUCUUAAACUCAGCUAAACCACAGACAGUAUGAAAUGCCAACAGAUGGUUGAAUUGUGUUUCCAUAGCAAAGUAAUUUACAAUAAUUGCCGUAUGGACGUAAAUGCAAUUUUCCAUUAUAUUCGUCUUAUCAAGUGUUACCAUACAACUCUGAUACAUUUUAUCAGAAUAUGA